AAAAUUCUUGUCUUAGAUUUGUCUAGAUACGGAUGUAUCAAGUCACAUUUUAGUAUUAGAUACAUCCGUAUCUAGACAAAUCUAAGACAAGAAAUUU
rfam:Triticum aestivum genome assembly, contig: Triticum_aestivum_CS42_TGACv1_scaffold_361673_4DS